rnacentral:lncRNA from 1 species
UUCUUUUGUUUGUUAUUUUUUUUGAAUAAGAGGAUUGAGAGUUUCUGAAUAUUCUGAAGUGAAUUAUGGAAUGGAAAUGUGAUUAGUAUUAUUUGAAAAGAAGAAAGAUUGAAUGCUGAAAUUUCAUUGUAGUUUAGCAGAGAGAAUGAGUCUGUGUUUGUGUGAAACACUGUAAUGUGAAUGGCAGUUAUGUGUGAAGAAUUCCAGUGAUUGGAACGAGGGUAAUUGUGUGUCGAAAGCUGU